CUAUAAUGCAGUCGAGCGGACCGACGGGAGCUUGCUCCCUUAGGUCAGCGGCGGACGGGUGAGUAACACGUGGGUAACCUGCCUGUAAGAUCGGGAUAACACCGGGAAACCGGGGCUAAUACCGGAUAGUUUUUUCCUCCGCAUGGAGGAAAAAGGAAAGACGGCUUUCGCUACCACUUACAGAUGGACCCGCGGCGCAUUAGCUAGUUGGUGGGGUAACGGCUCACCAAGGCAACGAUGCGUAGCCGACCUGAGAGGGUGAUCGGCCACACUGGGACUGAGACACGGCCCAGACUCCUACGGGAGGCAGCAGUAGGGAAUCUUCCGCAAUGGACGAAAGUCUGACGGAGCAACGCCGCGUGAGUGAUGAAGGUUUUCGGAUCGUAAAACUCUGUUGUUAGGGAAGAACAAGUACCGUUCGAAUAGGGCGGUACCUUGACGGUACCUAACCAGAAAGCCACGGCUAACUACGUGCCAGCAGCCGCGGUAAUACGUAGGUGGCAAGCGUUGUCCGGAAUUAUUGGGCGUAAAGCGCGCGCAGGCGGUUUCUUAAGUCUGAUGUGAAAUCUUGCGGCUCAACCGCAAGCGGUCAUUGGAAACUGGGAGGCUUGAGUGCAGAAGAGGAGAGUGGAAUUCCACGUGUAGCGGUGAAAUGCGUAGAGAUGUGGAGGAACACCAGUGGCGAAGGCGACUCUCUGGUCUGUAACUGACGCUGAGGCGCGAAAGCGUGGGGAGCGAACAGGAUUAGAUACCCUGGUAGUCCACGCCGUAAACGAUGAGUGCUAAGUGUUAGAGGGUUUCCGCCCUUUAGUGCUGCAGCAAACGCAUUAAGCACUCCGCCUGGGGAGUA
rnacentral:rRNA from 1 species